CAGGGGCCACGCGAGCAGAGGGGCCGCGCACGGGGCGCGAAUCGGGGAGGACAAGCACAUGCCCCCCGAGACAGUUACAAAAGGAGUAUCCAUUCAUGGUAGAAAUUUGGAAAAAAUACAAAGUGCCCACUUAAAUAAAGAGGAAAACAAAAAUUAUCCAUAAUAAAUUUGCAUCGGUUAACGUAAUAGAGGGCAUCAAACGGAGAUAUGAAGAGAGAAGAUUGUACCAGCGACUCCAGGGCCUCAGCAGAGGCCAAACAGAACGGAGACGAGAGGAGAGUGGAAAUCAGACCCAGUUUUCUGCAGUCUCGUGGCCACUUGGAGGCAAAAACUGAAGUUCAGGGUCCUUGAGGGAGGAGGCGUCCAGGUCCCAGGCCCCCUGUGAAGGCUCUACACCACCCAGAGGUCGAUCCUACAUGGCUUCUGCUGCCUCAAGUGGCUGUGAUGUGUCAUUGCAGUGGUCUGUCAGUUUCUCAGACGAUAGUGUGUCUGAAUCCCCCAGAGUGCCUUGCAAUGCCUGGAGAUCGAUAAGUGCCUGCUGAUUGAGUUCCUGUUAAUGAAUGGCAACGGCUUCAUCAGUGAAUAUUGAUUGAUGGGGACUCCAGCUCACUCUUGACAGCAAGCCAGGGCUUUUGCCAAAGGAGGCAAAGAAUUCCCCACAAGCCUGGUGCAUUCCAAUCCCAACGUGGGCAAACCUGUAAUCAAUUCCAGCUGAGGGUGGGAGGUAGGUGGCGGGGAGUCUCUCUGUUGUCAUAGUAACAUGGCAAAAAAAAAAAAGCUUUAGUAGCAUCACAGACAUCCAGACUCUGAAGUAAUCCCCCUUUUAAAAUUGAAUCAUAUUAAUAAGAUCUACUGACUGAACAA